CAGGACUCGGGAGACGCCGUUUCGGGAGGAAAGUCCGGGCUCCACAAGCAAUGGUACUGGCUAACGGCCAGGAACGGGACUGGCGACGGCUCCGUUACGGACAGUGCAACAGAAAACAAACCGCCUCGGUCUCCUUCACCGGCGACCGCGGUAAGGGCGAAACGGUGAGGUAAGAGCUCACCGCGGCUUCAGCGAUGAAGACGGCAACGGCAAACCCUACCUGGAGCAAGGCCAAAUAGGCGGACUCGGUCGGCUCGACCAUCAGGUCCGCGGGUAAGGCUGCUUGAAUGACGGAGUAAUCCGUCGUCUAGAGGAAUGAUCGCCUCCACUCUCUGAGUGAAGACAAAACCCGGCUUACAGUCUUGCGAA
rnacentral:RNase_P_RNA from 1 species